rnacentral:rRNA from 1 species
CACGGGGGGAGCAAGCGUUGUUCGGAAUCACUGGGCGUAAAGGGCGUGUAGGCGGUCGAGUAAGUGGAAUGUGAAAUGCCCCGGCUCACCCGGGGACCUGCAUCCCAAACUGCUCGGCUUGAGUAUGGGAGAGGAUGAGGGAAUUCCUGGUGUAGCGGUGAAAUGCGUAGAUAUCAGGAGGAACACCGGUGGCGAAAGCGCUCAUCUGGCCCAAUACUGACGCUGAGGCGCGAAAGCUAGGGGAGCAAACGGG